AUUUAUAUAGUUUAACAUAAAACAUUACAUUUUCACUGUAAAAAUAAAAUAAAUAUUUUUAUAAAUA
rnacentral:tRNA from 1 species